rnacentral:rRNA from 1 species
GACGAACGCUGGCGGCGUGCUUAACACAUGCAAGUCGAACGGAGUGGCGAACGGGUGAGUAACACGUGGGUGACCUGCCCUGCACUUCGGGAUAAGCCUGGGAAACUGGGUCUAAUACCGGAUAGUGUGGGAUGGGCCCGGGGCCUAUCAGCUUGUUGGUGGGGUAAGGGCCUACCAAGGCGGCGACGGGUAGCCGGCCUGGGAGGGUGGACGGCCACAAUGGGACUGAGGCACGGCGCAGACGGCUAUGGGAGGCAGCGGUGGGGAAUAUUGCGCAGUGGGCGGAAGCCUGAUGCGGAGGCGCCGGGGGGGGAAAGACGGCCUUCGGGUUGUAAACGCCUUUCACCAUCGACGCGGUAGAUGGAGAAGAAGCACCGGCUAACUACGUGCCAGCAGCCGCGGUAAUUC